rnacentral:rRNA from 1 species
ACGAGGAUUGCCCUAGCUAACGGCGAGUGAACAGGCAAGAGCUCAGAUUUGAAAGGCACUUUUGUGCCGUUGUAUUCUGAAGUUAGGGUCCUGAGAAACGAUGCUUAAGUCUUCUGGAAAGGAGCGCCAUGGAGGGUGAUAGCCCCGUCUAGCAUUGACCUCAUAUAGGAUCUUAACAUGGAGUCGAGUUGUUUGGGAAUGCAGCUCAAAUGGGUGGUAUGCUCCAUCUAAAGCUAAAUAUCUGCGAGAGACCGAUAGUAAACAAGUACUGUGAGGGAAAGAUGAAAAGAACUUUGAAAAGAGAGUGAAAAAGUACGUGAAAUUGUUGAAAUGGAAGGGUAGGCCGCUAACCAUGUAGAGCCGUGUUUGGGGGGAAGAUAAAUGCUGUAGAAUGUAGCUCCUCGGAGUAUUAUAGAUGCAGUUCAUAUUCCCACCCGAGCGCGAGGAUCUCAGGUUCUACUAAAUGGUGGUCUACCACCCGUCUUGAA